rnacentral:rRNA from 1 species
UGGGGAAUAUUGCACAAUGGGCGCAAGCCUGAUGCACCGACGCCGCGUGCGGGAUGACGGCCUUCGGGUUGUAAACCGCUUUUGACUGGGAGCAAGCCCUUCGGGGUGAGUGUACCUUUCGAAUAAGCACCG